rnacentral:rRNA from 1 species
UACAGAGGUCCCAAGCGUUGUUCGGAUUCAUUGGGCGUAAAGGGUGCGUAGGUGGCGUCGUAAGUCGGGUGUGAAAUUUCGGAGCUCAACUCCGAAACUGCAUUCGAUACUGCGGUGCUUGAGGACUGGAGAGGAGACUGGAAUUACGGUGUAGCAGUGAAAUGCGUAGAGAUCGUAAGGAAGACCAGUGGCGAAGGCGGGUCUCUGGACAGUUCCUGGACACUGAGGCACGAAGGCCAGGGGAGCAAACGGG